rnacentral:lncRNA from 1 species
UCUUUCAAAUGUUCUGACCUAUCUUUUUUGAACAGCUGUGUUUCAGGUUUCAUCUCUUUCCAUCUCUCCACCAACCUUGUUAAAAUCUAGGUGCAUGGGCCAGAAAGAGAAAUAAAAAACCAAGCACUGUCAGAAGUUCCAAAUCUCCUGCCACGUUUUGCUUCUGCUUGCGCAGUUGAAGAGAAGGAAAGGCAAGGAGCAGCUCAGUGAUAGGGACUCCACGUUCCUUGCUGGGUGAUGGGCUGGUGAAACCUGCAGCACUCUUAGCUGCAAAGCCGUGUCCCCUUGGACAGCACAGGGGAAAGUCCUGGCUCCUGGGACCUCUUCACCUUCUACACCCUAAAGAAGUCACAGGCAUUCCCCCAGGCUUUGAGAGGCCAGCUGCUGCCUCCCCAAGUUUGGAAAAAUUGGAACUCCCUCUGAAUGGUAAAACAAAACUGUACUCUCCUUCCUUCAAUACACUUCAGAUCUUUUAAUUUUCAGUCUGAAUCAGAAAGAUUUUUUAGGUAAUUAGUGCUUUUCCCCACAACAGAAACUGAGUCUCAUUCAGUUCUAUCUGGUAAGUGAAUAUGAAGCUGGUCUUGUUUCGGCUGACAAUCUGCCCUGUUUUUACAGUAUAAAUAAACAUGACAGUGUGAACA